CGGAGGAAAAGAAACUAACAAGGAUUCCCCCAGUAACGGCGAGUGAAGCGGGAAGAGCUCAAGCUUAAAAUCUCCAUACUUGUAUGGCGAAUUGUAGUCUAUUGAGGCUGUUGUCAGCAUCGCGAUUGGGGACAAGUCCCUUGGAAAAGGGCAGCAUAGAGGGUGAUACUCCCGUCUCUGCUCCAAUCUGCGGUGUGUACGAUACGCUUUCUUUGAGUCGAGUUGUUUGGGAAUACAGCUCAAAGUAGGUGGUAAAUUCCAUCUAAAGCUAAAUAUUGGUGCGAGACCGAUAGCGAACAAGUACCGUGAGGGAAAGAUGAAAAGAACUUUGAAAAGAGAGUUAAAGAGUACCUGAAACUGUUGAAAGGGAACCGUAUCGUUUCCAGUGUUGUAUCCUAUGCAUAUUUCAUUCGCGGAGUAAUUUGCGGGUGCCCUGUGCAUGGGUGUGACGUCAGGGUCAGUUUGUAUGCUGCGGGAGAUGGUCAGUGAGGAGGUGCGUCACUUCGGUGAAAGUUAUAUCUCGCUGUCUAGUAGCCGUGGUUGAGACUGAGGUGCCUACAACAUGCCUUAAGGUUCCGUGUUGUCUCGUGUUGGUGACUGCUUUGAUAGCUUGCUAUGUACUGUGGUUUAUCAGUGCGAUUGAUGAUGCGGAUAACUUUUGCUGUUCGGGACUCUGGCGAAAUGGAGCGA
rnacentral:rRNA from 1 species